rnacentral:rRNA from 1 species
AUACCGCAUAAUGUCGCAAGACCAAAGUGGGGGAAGUUAGGGACUCAUGCAAUCAGAAGUGCCCAGAUGGGAUUAGAUAGUAGGAGGGGUAACGGCUCACCUAGGCGAAGAUCCCUAGCUGGUCUGAGAGGAUGACCAGCCACACUGGAACUGAGACACGGUCCAGACUCCUACGGGAGGCAGCAGUGGGGAAUAUUGCACAAUGGGCGCAAGCCUGAUGCAGCCAUGCCGCGUGUGUGAAGAAGGCCUUCGGGUUGUAAAGCACUUUCAGCGGGGAGGAAGGCGUUAAGGUUAAUAACCUUGGCGAUUGACGUUACCCGCAGAAGAAGCACCGGCUAACUCCGUGCCAGCAGCCGCGGUAAUACGGAGGGUGCAAGCGUUAAUCGGAAUUACUGGGCGUAAAGCGCACGCAGGCGGUCUGUCAAGUCGGAUGUGAAAUCCCCGGGCUCAACCUGGGAACUGCAUUCGAAACUGGCAGGCUAGAGUCUUGUAGAGGGGGGUAGAAUUCCAGGUGUAGCGGUGAAAUGCGUAGAGAUCUGGAGGAAUACCGGUGGCGAGGCAGCCCCCUGGACAAAGACUGACGCUCAGGUGCGAAAGCGUGGGGAGCAAACAGGAUUAGAUCCCCUGGUAGUCCACGCCGUAAACGAUGUCGAUUUGGAGGUUGUGCCCUUGAGGCGUGGCUUCCGGAGCUAACGGGUUAAAUCGACCGCCUGGGGAGUACGGCCGCAAGGUUAAAACUCAAAUGAAUUGACGGGGGCCCGCACAAGCGGUGGAGCAUGUGGUUUAAUUCGAUGCAACGCGAAGAACCUUACCUGGUCUUGACAUCCACAGAACUUUCCAGAGAUGGAUUGGUGCCUUCGGGAACUGUGAGACAGGUGCUGCAUGGCUGUCGUCAGCUCGUGUUGUGAAAUGUUGGGUUAAGUCCCGCAACGAGCGCAACCCUUAUCCUUUGUUGCCAGCGGUCCGGCCGGGAACUCAAAGGAGACUGCCAGUGAUAAACUGGAGGAAGGUGGGGAUGACGUCAAGUCAUCAUGGCCCUUACGACCAGGGCUACACACGUGCUACAAUGGCAUAUACAAAGAGAAGCGACCUCGCGA